rnacentral:rRNA from 1 species
GACGAACCGUGCGAACGUUAUUCGGAAUCAUUGGGCUUAAAGGGCGCGUAGGCGGCGGUGUAAGUUGGAAGUGAAAUCCCAUCGGCUCAACCGUGGAAUAGCUCCCAGUACUGCAUCGCUCGAGGGGGAUAGGGGUCUGCGGAACUACCGGUGGAGCGGUGAAAUGUGUUGAUAUCGGUGGGAACGCCAGUGGCGAAAGCGGCAGACUUGACCCUUCCUGACGCUGAGGCGCGAAAGCGUGGGGAGCAAACAGG